rnacentral:rRNA from 1 species
UACGUAGGGGGCAAGCGUUAUCCGGAUUUACUGGGUGUAGAGGGAGCGUAGACGGCCAGACAAGUCUGAAGUGAAAAUCCAGCGCUUAACGUUGGAAGUGCUUUGGAAACUGCCGGGCUAGCGUGCAGGAGGGGCAGGCGGAAUUCCUAGUGUAGCGGUGAAAUGCGUAGAUAUUAGGAGGAACACCAGUGGCGAAGGCGGCCUGCUGGACUGCAACUGACGUUGAGGCUCGAAGGCGUGGGGAGCAAACAGG